AGGAAGUCUUUUCUUUCAAUUCUGUCACUUUCUAUAUUUUUGAAUUUCCCACCCUAAUGUAUGUACUGUUUUAUAAUUAUUUAAAAUAGGAUUCUUUGCCAGGAGUGGUCCCUUAAACCUGCGAUCCUGGCAUUUUGGGAGGCCACUGAGGAGGAUUGCUGGAGACCAGGAAUUCAAGGCCAUCUGGGCAACAUGAGGCUUGCCCUGUUGCCCAGGCUGGAGUACAAUGGCGUGAUCUUGGCUCACUGCAACCUCCAUCUCCUGGCUUCAAGUGAUUCUCCUGCCUCAGCCUCCCAGGUCUCAGUAAGUUCUUCCAACAUUGGAGUCUGGGAGAGGUGUUUGUUGAUAGAAGUUUGGAGAGACAGAGGAGAAUGA
rnacentral:lncRNA from 1 species